AACGAACGCUGGCGGCAUGCCUAACACAUGCAAGUCGAACGAGACCUUCGGGUCUAGUGGCGCACGGGUGCGUAACGCGUGGGAACCUGCCCUUAGGUUCGGAAUAACUCCCCGAAAGGGGUGCUAAUACCGGAUAAUGUCUUCGGACCAAAGAUUUAUCGCCUUUGGAUGGGCCCGCGUUGGAUUAGCUAGUUGGUAGGGUAAAAGCCUACCAAGGCGACGAUGCAUAGCUGGUCUGAGAGGAUGAUCAGCCACACUGGGACUGAGACACGGCCCAGACUCCUACGGGAGGCAGCAGUGGGGAAUAUUGGACGAUGGGCGAAAGCCUGAUCCAGCAAUGCCGCGUGAGUGAUGAAGGCGUUAGGGUUGUAAAGCUCUUUUAACCGGGAUGAUAAUGACAGUACCGGGAGAAUAAGCUCCGGCUAACUCCGUG
rnacentral:rRNA from 1 species